rnacentral:rRNA from 1 species
UACGUAGGGGGCAAGCGUUGUCCGGAUUUAUUGGGCGUAAAGAGCGUGUAGGCGGUUUGGUAGGUCCGCUGUGAAAACUCGAGGCUCAACCUCGAGACGCCGGUGGAAACCAUCAGACUAGAGUCCGGAAGAGGAGAGUGGAAUUCCUGGUGUAGCGGUGAAAUGCGCAGAUAUCAGGAAGAACACCCGUGGCGUAAGGCGGCCUCUGGACCGGUACUGACGCUGAGGUGACGAGAACGUGGGGAGCAACAGG